ACACGUAUCCAAUACCAACCACAGCGAACUGUUAAAGUCUAUUGGGAAACCUCCCAAGGUCUAAACAACCUUGAUGUUUCCCUAAUAACUAUAAACCACUUUAUUGUUUGACUGAUUGUUUGGCGUUCCGGUAACUCGGACGCAUCAUCAAUCGAAAAA
rnacentral:misc_RNA from 1 species